GACGAACGCUGGCGGCGUGCCUAACACAUGCAAGUCGAGCGAACGGACCAGGAGUUUGCUUCCCUGAUGUUAGCGGCCGAGGGGAGCGUCACAUGUGUACAACCUACCUCCCCGACUGGGAUAAUCUCGGGAAACCGGAUCUUAUACCGGAUAAUAUCUUGCACCUCAGUGUUCACUCGUUAAAUUCGGUCUUUCUGUCACUAAUAGACGGAUCCGCGCUGCAUUAGUUAGUUGUUAAGGAAACGGCUUAACAAGGCUAGGAGGCAUAGCCGACCGGAGCGGGUGGUCGGCCACACGGGAGCUGAGACAGGGUCCAGACUCCUGCGAUAGGCAGCAGUCGGGAAUCUUACGCGAUGGAGGAGAGGGUGACAGAGCAAGGCGGCGUGAGUGAUGAAGGUGUUCGGAUCGGAAAGCUAUGUUAUUAGGGGAGAACAAAUGUGUAAGUAACUGUGCAGAUAUUGACGGUACCGAGUCAAAAAGCUACGGCUAACUACGUG
rnacentral:rRNA from 1 species